rnacentral:rRNA from 1 species
AUUCCAGCUCCAAUGGCGUAUAUUAAAGUUGUUGCAGUUAAAAAGCUCGUAGUUGGAUUUCUGGUGGGAGUGAUCGGUCUGCCCCGUUAGGGGUGUGUACUAGUGUCGUCUCUUGCCAUCCUUGUGGGAACUGCUCUGGCAUUAAGUUGUCGGGGUUAGGGAACACAUCGUUUACUGUGAAAAAAUUAGAGUGUUUAAAGCAGGCUUAUGCCGUUGAAUACAUUAGCAUGGAAUAAUAAGAUAGGACUUUGGCGUCUAUUUUGUUGGUUUGCACACCAAGGUAAUGAUUAAUAGGGAUAGUUGGGGGUAUUCGUAUUUAAUUGUCAGAGGUGAAAUUCUUGGAUUUAUGAAAGACGAACUUCUGCGAAAGCAUUUACCAAAGAUGUUUUCAUCA